rnacentral:rRNA from 1 species
UACGGAGGGUGCAAGCGUUGUUCGGAAUUACUGGGCGUAAAGCGCGUGUAGGCGGUCAUUUAUGUCAGGUGUGAAAGCCCUCGGUCUAACCGAGGAAGUUCGCCAGAAACUGAUUGACUUGAGUCCGAGAGAGGAGGAUGGAAUUCCCAGUGUAGAGGUGAAAUUCGUAGAUAUUGGGAGGAACACCGGUGGCGAAAGCGGUUCUCUGGAUCGGUACUGACGCUGAGACGCGAAAGCGUGGGGAGCAAACAGG